AUGAACGCUAGCGGCAGGCUUAACACAUGCAAGUCGAGGGGCAGCAUAAUGGAUAGCAAUAUCUAUGGUGGCGACCGGCGCACGGGUGCGUAACGCGUAUGCAACCUACCUUUAACAGGGGGAUAACACUGAGAAAUUGGUACUAAUACCCCAUAAUAUCAUAGAAGGCAUCUUUUAUGGUUGAAAAUUCCGAUGGUUAGAGAUGGGCAUGCGUUGUAUUAGCUAGUUGGUGGGGUAACGGCUCACCAAGGCGACGAUACAUAGGGGGACUGAGAGGUUAACCCCCCACACUGGUACUGAGACACGGACCAGACUCCUACGGGAGGCAGCAGUGAGGAAUAUUGGUCAAUGGACGCAAGUCUGAACCAGCCAUGCCGCGUGCAGGAUGACGGCUCUAUGAGUUGUAAACUGCUUUUGUACUAGGGUAAACUCACCUACGUGUAGGUGACUGAAAGUAUAGUACGAAUAAGGAUCGGCUAACUCCGUG
rnacentral:rRNA from 1 species